rnacentral:rRNA from 1 species
AGUGUACGCUGGCGGUAGGCCUAACACAUGCAAGUCGAACGGCAGCACAGUAAGAGCUUGCUCUUACGGGUGGCGAGUGGCGGACGGGUGAGGAAUACAUCGGAAUCUACUUUUUCGGGGGGGAUAACGUAGGGAAACUUACGCUAAUACCGCAUACGACCUACGGGUGAAAGCAGGGGUUCUUCGGACCUUGCGCGAUUGAAUGAGCCGAUGUCGGAUUAGCUAGUUGGCGGGGUAAAGGCCCACCAAGGCGACGAUCCGUAGCUGGUCUGAGAGGAUGAUCAGCCACACUGGAACUGAGACACGGUCCAGACUCCUACGGGAGGCAGCAGUGGGGAAUAUUGGACAAUGGGCGCAAGCCUGAUCCAGCCAUACCGCGUGGGUGAAGAAGGCCUUCGGGUUGUAAAGCCCUUUUGUUGGGAAAGAAAAGCAGCAGGUUAAUACCCCGCUGUUCUGACGGUACCCAAAGAAUAAGCACCGGCUAACUUCGUG